rnacentral:miRNA from 1 species
CGCCGGCUGGAAGGAAGCCCUUCCGGUCGACGAGGUACAAGUACCUCACCGGCUGGAAGGAGACCCUUCCAGCCGGCGAGGUACAAGUACCUCGUCGACCGGAAGGGCUUCCUUCCAGCGGCG